GCCCGCGUUGUCUAAUGGCUAUGACGUCAGACUUCUAUCGAGUAAGAGCAUCUGGAGGUUGCGGGUUCGAGUCCCGCCGUGGGUU
rnacentral:tRNA from 1 species